rnacentral:rRNA from 1 species
UUGGAGUCUGCAACCCGACUCCAUGAAGCUGGAUUCGCUAGUAAUCGCGCAUCAGCCACGGCGCGGUGAAUACGUUCCCGGGCCUUGUACACACCGCCCGUCAAGCCAUGGAAGCCGGGAGUGCCUGAAGUGCGUGACCGCAAGGAGCGUCCUAAGGCAAUACCGGUGACUGGGGCUAAGUCGUAACAAGGUACC